AGCAGCCGCGGUAAUUCCAGCUCCAAUAGCGUAUAUUAAAGUUGUUGUGGUUAAAAAGCUCGUAGUUGAACUUCGGGGUUCACCCAUUGGUCAGGCUUAAUUGUCUGUACUGGUGAGAUGAAUCUCUACCUUCUGGGGAACUUUCAUGCCAUUUAUUUGGUGUGAUGGGAAAUCUGGACUGUUACUUUGAAAAAAUUAGAGUGUUUAAAGCAGGCUCACGUCUGAAUACAUUAGCAUGGAAUAAUGAAAUAGGGCGGAUUGAUUCUAUUUCGUUGGUUUCUAGGAUCGAUGUA
rnacentral:rRNA from 1 species